CCCUUAGAGUUUGAUCCUGGCUCAGAACGAACGCUGGCGGCGUGGAUAAGACAUGCAAGUCGAGCGGAACACACUCGGUAGCAAUAUCGGGUGUGUUUAGCGGCGCAAGGGUGCGUAACACGUGGGUAAUUUGCCGUAAAGCUGGGGAUAACUCCGGGAAACCGGAGCUAAUACCGAAUGUGGCUUCUGGAGGCAUCUCUGGAACGCUAAAGCUGGGGACCCGCAAGGGCCUGGCACUUUACGAUAAGCCCGCGGCCUAUCAGCUAGUUGGCGUGGUAACGGCACACCAAGGCAAAGACGGGUAGCUGGUCUGAGAGGACGACCAGCCACACUGGAACUGAGACACGGUCCAGACACCUACGGGUGGCAGCAGUCGAGAAUUUUUCACAAUGGGCGCAAGCCUGAUGGAGCGACGCCGCGUGGGGGACGAAGGGCUUCGGCUCGUAAACCCCUGUCAGUCGCGAACAAGGUUCACCCGUGAAUAGCGGGUGGAUUGAUAGUAGCGACAGAGGAAGGGACGGCUAACUCUGUGCCAGCAGCCGCGGUAAUACAGAGGUCCCGAGCGUUGUUCGGAUUCACUGGGCGUAAAGGGUGCGUAGGCGGCUAGGCAAGUCUGAUGUGAAAUCUCCGGGCUCAACCCGGAAAUGGCAUCGGAAACUGCGCUAGCUGGAGGCUUUGGAGGGGGAACUGGAAUACUUGGGUGUAGCAGUGAAAUGCGUAGAUAUCAAGUGGAACACCGGGUGGCG
rnacentral:rRNA from 1 species